rnacentral:rRNA from 1 species
CAGUGGCAGACGGGUGAGUAACACGUGGGAACGUACCCUUCGGUUCGGAAUAACUCAGGGAAACUUGAGCUAAUACCGGAUACGCCCUUUUGGGGAAAGGUUUACUGCCGAAGGAUCGGCCCGCGUCUGAUUAGCUUGUUGGUGGGGUAACGGCCUACCAAGGCGACGAUCAGUAGCUGGUCUGAGAGGAUGAUCAGCCACACUGGGACUGAGACACGGCCCAGACUCCUACGGGAGGCAGCAGUGGGGAAUAUUGGACAAUGGGCGCAAGCCUGAUCCAGCCAUGCCGCGUGAGUGAUGAAGGCCUUAGGGUUGUAAAGCUCUUUUGUCCGGGACGAUAAUGACGGUACCGGAAGAAUAAGCCCCGGCUAACUUCGUGCCAGCAGCCGCGGUAAUACGAAGGGGGCUAGCGUUGCUCGGAAUCACUGGGCGUAAAGGGCGCGUAUGGCGGCCGAUUAAGUCGGGGGUGAAAGCCUGUGGCUCAACCACAGAAUUGCCUUCGAUACUGGUUGGCUUGAGACCGGAAGAGGACAGCGGAACUGCGAGUGUAGAGGUGAAAUUCGUAGAUAUUCGCAAGAACACCAGUGGCGAAGGCGGCUGUCUGGUCCGGUUCUGA